rnacentral:rRNA from 1 species
AACGAACGCUGGCGGCAUGCCUAACACAUGCAAGUCGAACGAGACCUUCGGGUCUAGUGGCGCACGGGUGCGUAACGCGUGGGAACCUGCCCUUAGGUUCGGUAUAACUCCCCGAAAGGGGUGCUAAUACCGGUUAAUGUCUUCGGACCAAAGAUUUAUCGCCUUUGGAUGGGCCCGCGUUGGAUUAGCUAGUUGGUAGGGUAAAAGCCUACCAAGGCGACGAUCCAUAGCUGGUCUGAGAGGAUGAUCAGCCACACUGGGACUGAGACACGGCCCAGACUCCUACGGGAGGCAGCAGUGGGGAAUAUUGGACAAUGGGCGAAAGCCUGAUCCAGCAAUGCCGCGUGAGUGAUGAAGGGCUUAGGGUUGUAAAGCUCUUUUACCCGGGAUGAUAAUGACAGUACCGGGAGAAUAAGCUCCGGCUAACUCCGUG